rnacentral:rRNA from 1 species
ACGAGAAAGUGGAGCAAUCCAUGAGUAAAGUGGCGACCGGGUGAGUAACACGUGACUAACCUACCCUUGAGUGGGGGAUAACCUCGGGAAACCGGGGCUAAUACCGCAUAACAUCUUUGGAUCGGAAGAACUGGAGAUCAAAGGAGCAAUUCGCUUAAGGAGGGGGUCGCGGCUGAUUAGCUAGUUGGCGGGGUAACGGCCCACCAAGGCUUUGAUCGGUAGCCGGCCUGAGAGGGCGCACGGCCACACUGGAACUGAAACACGGUCCAGACUCCUACGGGAGGCAGCAGUGGGGAAUUUUGCGCAAUGGGGGAAACCCUGACGCAGCAACGCCGCGUGGAGGAUGAAGUCCCUUGGGACGUAAACUCCUUUCGACCGGGACGAUAAUGACGGUACCGGUGGAAGAAGCCCCGGCUAACUUCGUGCCAGCAGCCGCGGUAAUACGAGGGGGGCAAGCGUUGUUCGGAAUUAUUGGGCGUAAAGGGCGCGUAGGCGGUGCGGUAAGUCACCUGUGAAAUCUCCGGGCUUAACUCGGAGCCUGCAGGCGAAACUGCCGUGCUUGAGGGUGGGAGAGGUGCGUGGAAUUCUCGGUGUAGCGGUGAAAUGCGUAGAUAUCGGGAGGAACACCUGUGGCGAAAGCGGCGCACUGGACCAUAACUGACGCUGAGGCGCGAAAGCUAGGGGAGCAAACAGGAUUAGAUACCCUGGUAGUCCUAGCCCUAAACGAUGGAU